rnacentral:rRNA from 1 species
CAGCAGCCGCGGGAAUACGAACCGUGCGAACGUUAUUCGGAAUUACUGGGCUUAAAGCGCGUGUAGGCGGGCCGCCACGUCGGUUGCUGAAAUCCCCCGGCUCAACCGGGGAAGUGGCAUCGAUACGAGCGGCCUUGAGGGGGGUAGGGGGAUCUGGAACUUCCGGUGGAGCGGUGAAAUGCGUUGAGAUCUGAAAGAACACCAACGGCGAAAGCACUCUGCUGGGCCGGCACUGACGCUGAGAGACGAAAGCUAGGGGAGCAAAUGGGAUUAGAUACCCGCGUAGUCCCUGUCUCUUAUU